rfam:Lasallia pustulata genome assembly, contig: scaffold89_size55578
GAAAGCGGUAUGACGGGAGACUGUCACGUACCGUUUGGGGGGCGGCAGUCGACGCAAGAAGACGAGGCCGACCCCAC